AUGUUUUGUUUUGUAGAUCGUGUCUUUCAUAGUAAUGAAACUACUAAAAAUGUGUAUGAAGAAAUUGCAGUACCAAUCAUAGAUUCUGCCAUUCAAGGCUACAAUGGUACUAUAUUUGCCUACGGGCAGACUGCUUCAGGAAAAACGUAUACUAUGAUGGGUUCACAAGAGUAUUUGGGAGUAAUACCCAGGGCAAUUCAUGACAUUUUCCAGAAAAUUAAGAAGUUUCCUGAUAGGGAAUUUCUCUUACGUGUGUCUUAUAUGGAGAUAUACAAUGAUACCAUUACAGACUUACUUUGUGACACUCAAAAAAUGAAGCCUUUAAUAAUUCGAGAAGACUUCAAUAGAAACGUGUACGUGGCUGACCUCACAGAAGAAGUUGUUUAUACAUCAGAAAUGGCUUUGAAGUGGAUCACUAAGGGAGAAAAGAACAGGCAUUAUGGAAUUACAAAAAUGAAUCAGCGAAGUAGUCGUUCUCAUACCAUUUUUAGGAUGAUUUUGGAAAGCAGAGAGAAAGGUGAACCUUCUAAUUUUGAAGGAUCUGUCAAAGUGUCCCAUUUGAAUUUGGUCGAUCUUGCAGGCAGUGAACGGGCUGCCCAAACAGGUGCUGAAGGUUUACGACUCAAGGAAGGCUGUAAUAUAAAUCGAAGUUUAUUUAUUUUGGGACAAGUGAUCAAGAAACUUAGUGAUGGACAAGUUGGUGGUUUCAUAAAUUAUCGAGAUAGCAAAUUAACACGAAUUCUCCAGAAUUCCUUGGGAGGAAAUGCAAAAACACGUAUCAUCUGCACAAUUACUCCAGUGUCUUUUGAUGAAACACUUAGUACUCUCCAGUUUGCCAGCACUGCCAAAUAUAUGAAAAAUACUCCUUAUGUUAACGAGGUAUCAAGUGAUGAAGCUCUCCUGAAAAGAUACAGGAAAGAAAUAAUGGAUCUUAAAAAGCAAUUAGAGGAGGUUUCUUUAGAGACUCGAGCCCAGGCAAUGGAAAAAGACCAACUGGCCCAACUCUUGGAAGAAAAAGAUCUACUUCAAAAAGUCCAGAUUGAGAAAAUUCAAAACCUAACACGGAUGCUGGUGACAUCUUCUUCUCUAGCAUCACAGCAGGAAUUAAAGGCUAAAAAAAAACGAAGAGUUACUUGGUGCGCAGGGAAAAUUAACAAAAUGAAGGACUCAAACUAUGUAAAUGAAUUUAAUAUGGCAGUGAAUGUAACAACAAGAACACAUAAGGCUGCUGUAAGUUUAGGAGAAAUUGAUGAAUCUCUCUGUUCAGAGUCUGAUAUUUUCAGUAACACUCUUGAUACAUUGACUGAGAUAGAAUGGAAUCCAGCAACAAAGCUACUAAGUCAGGAAAACUUAGAAAGUGAAUUGAAUUCACUUCGUGCUAACUAUGAUAACCUGGUACUAGACUAUGAACAUUUAAGAAGAGAAAAUGAAGAAAUGGAAUUGAAAUUAAAAGAAAAGAAUGAUUUGGAUGAAUUUGAAGCUCUAGAAAGAAAAGCAGAGAAAGAUCAAGAGAUGCAACUAAUUCAUGAAAUUUCCAACUUAAAGAAUUUAGUUAAGCAUGCAGAAGUAUAUAAUCAAGAUCUUGAGAAUGAACUAAAUUCAAAAGUAGAGCUGCUUAGAGAAAAGGAAGACCAGAUUAAGAAGCUACAGGAAUAUAUAGAGUCUCAGAAGUCAGAAAGUAUGAAAAUGGACUCAUCAUACUCAUCGGAAAACACUGAAGACCUAAAACAAAUGAGACAGACUCUGCUUGAUGCCGAAACUGUAGCUCUUGAUGCUAAGAGAGAAUCAGCCUUUCUUAGAAGUGAAAAUCUAAAGCUGAAAGAGAAAAUGAAAGAACUUGCAAGUACAUGCAAGCAGAUGGAAAAUGAUACUCAGUUAUAUCAAAGUCAGUUGGAGGCGAAAAAGAAAAUGCAAGUUGAUCUGGAGAAAGAAUUACAAUCUUCUUUUAAUGAAAUAACAAAACUCACCUCCCUUAUAGAUGGCAAAGUUCCAAAAGAUUUUCUGUCUAAUAUGGAAUUGGAAAGAAAAAUAACCCAUCUACAGAAAGAAUUGAAUAAAGCAGUCGAAGAAAAUGAAACUUUGCGUAAUGAAGUUAAUUUGCUGUCAGAAUUGAAAUCUUUACCUUCAGAAGUAGAAAUGCUAAGGAAAGAGAUACGGGAUAAAUCUGAAGAGCUCUAUACAGUAACAUCAGAAAAAGACAAAUUGUCUUCUGAAGUAGUUGAUAAGGAAAGUAGAAUUCAAGGUUUACUUGAAGAAAUUGGGAGCACUAAAAAUGACCUACCAGCUCCCCAGUUGAGUUGUGAAAGCACUGAUCAAGAAUUCCAACAUGUUAAAAAUCACCAUAUUGAAUUUGAGCAAAAGUAUAAGAUGGUCCUUGAAGAAAAUGCAAAAUUGAAUCAAGAAAUAGGAAAUCUCUAUAAAGAAGCUGAAGAACUUGGGUUAAAUUUAGAGGCUUUGAAGACAGAGCUCUCUCACAAAACCCAAGAACUUCAACAAAAAACAACUGAGACUCAAGAAAGAUCAAACGAAGUGGAAGAGCUGAAGAAACAAUUAGAAAGUAGGGAAUCUAGACUGCAAAUGGUAGAAAAGGAGAAAACACUGAUUACUGAGAAACUUCAACAAACAUUAGUAGAAGUAAAAACCUUAACCCAAGAAAAAGAUGAUCAAAAACAACUCCAAGAGAGCCUACAAAUUGAGAGGGACCAACUCAAAAGUGACAUUCAGGAUACUAUAAAUAUGAACAUAGACACCCAGGAACAGCUACGAAAUGCGCUUGAGUCUUUGAAACAACACCAAGAAACAAUUAACGUGCUAAAAAUGAAAAUUUCUGAGGAAACUUCCAAGAAUUUGCAUAUAGAAGAAAACUUAGAAGAAACUAGGGAUGAAUUUCAGGAAAAGAUGGUUGUCAUAGAUAAAAGCCAAAAUUUGGAAACCACAAAAACUCAAGCUCUGAUCACAGAUGCUGCGGAUAAUGAGCUAACUGAGCAAGAGAAAAAGAUAUUUUCUUUAAUACAGGAGAAAAAUGAACUGCAACAAAUGUUAGAGAGUAUUACAGCAGAAAAGGAGCAACUGAAGACUGACCUAAGAGAAAACAUUGAAAUGAGCCAACAACUGCAAGAAAAACAGCAGCAACUGCUUAGUGUACAAGAAGAGAUGAGUGAGAUGCAGAAAAAGAUGAAUGAAAUGGAAAACUUAAAGAAUGAACUAAAGAACCAAGAAUUAACAUUGGAGCGUAUAAAAAUUGAGAAGAUAGAGUUAGCUCAGAAACUUCAUGAAAAUUGUGAGGAAAUGAAAUUCAUAACCAAAGAAAGAAACGACCUAAAGAAAUUACAGGAGUCAUUUGAAGUAGAGAGAAAUAAGCUUAAAGAACACAUAAGACAGAUUGAAGCUACAGGUCUAGAAACAAAAGAAGAACUACAGAUGGCCCACAUGUACCUAAAAGAACACCAAGAAACUAUUGAAGAACUAAGAAGAGACAUUUCUGAGAAGACGGCUCAGAUAAUAAAUACUCAGAAGAACUUAGAAAAAUCUGGUACUGAACUGCAAGAAAAGAUCCAAACAUCUCAAGACAAACAAGAACAGUCCUUCAAUAUGAAAGAAAAGGACAGUGAGACUAAGAAAAUAAUGAAUGAGAUGGAGCAAUUGAAGGACCCAUUCAAAGACUCAGCACUACUAAAGCUAGAAAUGGAAAAGCUCGAAUUGUCUGAAAGACUUCAAGAAAGUCAUGAUGAAGUCAAAGCUGUAGCAAAGGAGAGAGCUAACCUUCAGAGGCUACAAGAACUUCUUCAAUCUGAAAAGAACCAACUCCAAGAAAACCUAAGAGAAAUGGCCGCUAAACAACUAGAAACUGAAGAGAAACUUAAAGUUGCUCAUUGUCACCUAAAAGAACAAGAGGAAAUUAUUGGUAAACUAAGAGCGGAUCUAUCAAAGAGAGAAACUGAAAUAUCACACAUUCAACAGGAACUGGAAACAGCAAAUGAUAAAUUACAGAAAAAGACUCAAGAGCUUUAUGAGAAACAGUUUAUUACUGUCAAGGAAAUCAGUGAGACUCAGGAAACAAUGAGUGAACUGGAACAGUUAAAGGAACAUCUCAAAGCCAAAGGCUCGUCACUACAAAGAAAAGAAAGUGAGAGGCUCACAUUGACUGAAAAACUUCAGGCAAGUCAGGAAGAAUUAAAAACCAUAAUUAAGGAAGGAGAUGAACUGGAAAGGAUACAGGAGGCCCUUCAAAAAGAAACAGACCAACUCAAAGAAAACACUAAAGAAAUUGUAGCUGAUAUUCAAGAACUUCAGGAAAAAGAACAUCAACUUCUUGAGAUGAAGGAUGUCAGUGAGACUUGGGAAAAAAUAUGUGAAAUGGAAAACUUGAAGAAGCAACUUGAGGCCCAAAAGUCAACUCUAGAAAAUAUAGAAUGGGAGAACAUCAAGUUAAUUCAGAGACUCAAUGAAAAUAUUGCAGAAAUAAGAUCUGUUACAAAAGAAAGAGAUGACCUUAGGAAUAUGGAGGAGACUCUCAAAGUAGAGAUAGACCAGCUCAAGGAAAACCUAAGAGAAACAACAAAUAGAGACCUGGAAAGACAAGAGGAACUAAGAACUGCCCAGAUGAAUCUGAAAGAGCACCAAGAAACUAUCGAUAAACUCAGAGGAAUUGUUUCAGGGAAGACAGAUGAAAUAUCAAAUAUCCAAAUGAAUUUAGAAAACACAAAUAUGGCCUUAAAAGCACAGGUCAAUGAACUUCAGGAGAAAGAACAUCAACUUCUUAAGGUGCAAAAUGAUCUCAGGGAAAAUAUAUAUCAAACAGAGCAACUGAAGAAGCAAUUAGAGACUCAGAAUUCAAUCCUGGAAAGCACAGAAACAGAGAAGUUAAGGUUGACUCAGAAACUCCUUGAAAACGUUGAAGAAAUAAAAUCUGUUAGUAAGGAAAGAGAUGACCUAAGAAGAAUGGAGGGAACCCUCAAAAUGGAGCGAGAUCAACUCAGGGAAAGCCUCAGAGAAACAAAAGCUAAAGAUCUAGAAAGACAAGAAGAACUAAGAAUAGCUCACUUACAUCUGAAGGAGUACCAGGAAAUUAUUGAUAAACUCAGAGGGAUUGUGUCUGAGAAGGCAGAAGAACUAUCAAAUAUGCAAAUGGAUUUAGAAAAUUCAAAUGCUAAAUUACAAGAAAAGGUCCAAGAACUGAAAGCAAAUGAACAGCAACUUUUUAAGUUAAAAGAAGAAAUUAGUGAGACUAAGAAAAAAAUGUGUGACAUUGAGCAACUGAAGAACGAAUUUAAGUGCCAGAGUUUAACUAUGAACAAAAUAGAAAUGGAGAACUUAAACUUGGCUCAGAAGCUUCAUGAAAACCUUGAAGAAAUGAAAUCUGUAAUGAAAGAAAGAGAUAACCUAAGGGGGCUGGAAGAGACCCUCAGACUGGAGAGAGACCUACUCAAGGCGGACCUGCAAGGAAGCACAGCUAGGGAACUGGAGACACAAGAACAACUAAAAGUUGCUCAUAUCCAUUUGAAAGAACACCAAGAGACUAUCGAUAAAUUGAGAGAGAGAGUUUCAGAAAAGACGUCUCAGAUUUCACAUGUGCAAAAGGAUUUAAAUAAAUCAAAAGAUGAAUUACAGAAAAAGCAGGAUCAACAGAACCACAAAGAGGUAAAAUAUGAAAAAAGCUUACUAUGUGAUGGAAACCAACACCUUAUAGGAAGCCUGAGAGAAAAGUGCUUUAGGAUAAAAGAGCUUCUUAAGAGAUACUCAGCGAUGGAUAAGCACUAUGAAUGUUUAAGUAGAUUGUCUCUUGACUUGAAGAAGGAAAUUGAAACCCAAAAAGAGCUUUCAAUUAGAGUAAAAGCAAACCUCUCACUUCCAUAUCCACAAACCAAACAAAUCCAGAAACUUCUCACUGCAAACCAGAGGUGUUCCAUGGAAUUUCAUAGAGUCGUAAUGAAACUUCAGUAUGUGCUAAGCUAUGUUGCAAGGACAAAGGAAGAACAACAUGAAUCCAUCAAUAAAUUUGAAAUGGCUUUUAUUGAUGAAGUGGAAAAGCAAAAUGAACUGCUAAUGGAACUACAGCACUUUCAACAAGAUUAUGAUGUACCACCUGGAGAAUCAAGGGACCUCAAAUUGAACCAGAGCAUGGAUCUACAUAUCGAAGAAAUUCUUAAGGAUUUUUCAGAAAGUGAUUUCCAUAGCAUAAAGACUGAAUUUCAGCAAGUACUAAGUAAUAGAAAAGAAAUGACUCGGUUUUUGGAAGAGUGGUUGAAUGCUCGUUUUGAUAUAGAAAAGCUUAAAAAUGUCAUCCAGGAAGAAAAUGAUAGUAUUUGUCAAGUGAACAACUUGUAUCAUGAGAAAAUAACGGCUAUAAUGAAUGAAUUAACAGAGUUUGAAGAAAGAAAUGCUACCAUAGCCAAAGAAUGGGAACAAGAUCUGAAAUCAGUGAAAGAAAACAAUCAAAAACUAUUUAAAAACUACCAAACUUUGAAGCUCUCCCUGACCUCCGGUGCUCUUGUUAAUCCUACUACACAAGACAGGAAUCUUCAUGUCACAACGAGAGCUACACAGCAAGUCACAGAGAAAAUUCAAGCGCUGGAAACCUCACUCCGUGAAGCUAAAGAAAGUGCUAUGCAUAAGGAGGGCAAGAUUAUGAAGAUGCAGAAAGAGCUUGAGAUGACUAAUGAUGUAAUAGCAGAACUUCAGCGGCAAGUUAAUGAAUCAAAUGAAUGCCUUGAAAAAAGAAAAGAAAUGAUCCAAGUACUUCAGGACAAAGCUGCUUUAGGAGCUAAACCUUAUAAAGAAGAAAUUGAAGAUCUCAAAAUGAAGUUGGUGAAAGUGGACCUAGAGAAAAUGGAAAAUGCGAAGGAGUUUGAAAAGGAAAUUGCUUCAACAAAAGCCACUGUAGAAUAUCAAAAAGAAGUUAUAAGGCAAUUGAAAGAGAAUCUUAGAAGAAAUCAACAGGCCCAAGAUACCUCAAUGCUAUCAGAACAUAUUGAUACUCAGCCUUCAAAUAAACCCUUAACCUGUGGAGGUGGCAGUGGCAUUGUACAAAGCACGAAAGCUCUUAUCCUGAAAAGUGAAUAUAUACGGCUAGAAAAGGAAGUUUCUAAGUUAAAGCAGCAAAAUGAACAGCUCAUGAAGCAAAAGAACGAACUGUCAAGUGAGGUCAAGACAUGGAAGGAGAGAACUCUUAAAAAAGAGGUUCACAAAGAAGUAACUUGUGAGAAUUCUCCAAAGUCUCCUAAAGUGACUGGGACACCCUCUAAAAAGAGACACCAUAUGUCUUCUCAAUGCAAGGAACGGAAUGUCCAAGAUCCUGUGCCAAAGGAGUCGCCGAAAUCUUGGUUUUUUGAUAACCGAUCAAAGUCUUUGCCAGUACCUCCUCCAGUUCGCUAUUUUGAUAACUCAGGUUUAGGCCUUUGUCCAGAAGAACAAACUGCUGAAGUGGAGACCGAGGAUCCCCAGCGAGGUCCUUGGCAAAUGUCGUCAGGAAAAGAGGUGCCAGAGUGCAAGACUCAGUAGGCUCCGCUCUGCCGCGUUUCUGGCGGCCCAGCCUUCCACGUUUGGAAGUGUCUGUGUUUAUUGCUUGAUGUGUCUAUCCCUGGCAGGCAUGUCACAGUCCAGCUUCAGUUCAGUUCCCACUUUGC
rnacentral:lncRNA from 1 species